UACGAAGGGAGCGAGCGUUGUUCGGAAUCACUGGGCUUAAAGCGUGCGUAGGCGGAUGUGUAAGUAAGAAGUGAAAUCCCAGGGCUUAACCCUGGAACUGCUUUUUAGACUGCAUAUCUGGAAUUCGGUAGAGGUUGGUGGAACUCCUAGUGUAGAGGUGAAAUUCGCAGAUAUUAGGAAGAACACCGGUGGCGAAGGCGACCAACUGGACCGAUAUUGACGCUGAGGCACGAAAGCGUGGGUAGCAAACAGG
rnacentral:rRNA from 1 species